UACGUAGGGUCCGAGCGUUGUCCGGAAUUAUUGGGCGUAAAGAGCUCGUAGGCGGUUCAGUCAGUCGGGUGUGAAAUCUCCGGGCUCAACUCGGAGGGGCCACCCGAUACUGCUGUGACUCGAGUCCGGUAGGGGAGUGGGGAAUUCCUGGUGUAGCGGUGAAAUGCGCAGAUAUCAGGAGGAACACCGGUGGCGAAGGCGCCACUCUGGGCCGGUACUGACGCUGAGGAGCGAAAGCGUGGGGAGCAAACAGG
rnacentral:rRNA from 1 species